rnacentral:rRNA from 1 species
AAAUUGAAGAGUUUGAUCAUGGCUCAGAUUGAACGCUGGCGGCAGGCCUAACACAUGCAAGUCGAACGGUAACAGAAAGCAGCUUGCUGCUUUGCUGACGAGUGGCGGACGGGUGAGUAACGUCUGGGAAACUGCCUGAUGGAGGGGGAUAACUACUGGAAACGGUAGCUAAUACCGCAUAACGUCGCAAGACCAAAGAGGGGGACCUU